CUAUUUAGCUAGAGUGUGGGAGAGGAAGAUGGAAUUAGUUGUGUAGGGGUAAAAUCCGUAGAGAUAACUAGGAAUACCAAAAGCGAAGGCAAUCUUCUGGAACACUACUGACGCUGAGGCGCGAAGGCGUGGGGAGCAAACAGGAUUAGAUACCCUGGUAGUCCACGCAGUAAACGAUGAAUGUUAGUCGUCGGGUAGCUAGUCUAUUCGGUGAUGCAGCUAACGCAUUAAACAUUCCGCCUGGGGAGUACGGUCGCAAGAUUAAAACUCAAAGGAAUAGACGGGGACCCGCACAAGUGGUGGAGCAUGUGGUUUAAUUCGAAGAUACGCGAAGAACCUUACCUAGCCUUGACAUAUUUUAGAACUCCGCAGAGAUGUAGAGGUGCCUUCGGGAGCUAAUAUACAGGUGCUGCACGGCUGUCGUCAGCUCGUGUCGUGAGAUGUUGGGUUAAGUCCCGCAACGAGCGCAACCCUCGUCACUAGUUACUAACGGUCCGGCCGAGGACUCUAGUGAGACUGCCUUCGUAAGGAGGAGGAAGGUGAGGACGACGUCAAGUCAUCAUGGCCCUUACGGCUAGGGCAACACACGUGCUACAAUGGCCAGGACAAUGAGAAGCGAUACCGCGAGGUGGAGCAAAUCUAUAAACCUGGUCUCAGUUCGGAUUGUAGUCUGCAACUCGACUACAUGAAGCUGGAAUCACUAGUAAUCGUAGAUCAGCUAUGCUACGGUGAAUACGUUCCCGGGUCUUGUACUCACCGCCCGUCACACCAUGGGAGUUGAUUUCACCCGAAGCGGGGAAGCUAAACUGGCUACCCUCCACGGUGGAAUUAGCGACUGGGGUGAAGUCGUAACAAGGUAACC
rnacentral:rRNA from 1 species